UACGUAGGGCGCAAGCGUUGUCCGGAAUUAUUGGGCGUAAAGAGCUCGUAGGCGGCCUGUUGCGUCCGCUGUGAAAUCCCGGGGCUCAACCCCGGGCGUGCAGUGGAUACGGGCAGGCUGGAGGCAGGCAGGGGAGAACGGAAUUCCCGGUGUAGCGGUGAAAUGCGCAGAUAUCGGGAGGAACACCGGUGGCGAAGGCGGUUCUCUGGGCCUGUACUGACGCUGAGGAGCGAAAGCGUGGGGAGCGAACAGG
rnacentral:rRNA from 1 species